UUUCAAACUAGGUAGGUGACUUAGGGCUUGCGCAUUUCUCAUAACUGGCUGAAGUAUUGCGUCACCUGAGACCAGAUUGGAAUCUUUGCAAAUUUCCCGGAGAAGAAAAGUAUCGACGAUAUUUUUGGGCGCGUAUAUAUAUUAAAGAAGAUCAAUAUUUGCGCGGAUGAGCGCUAUUGCCAGAUGGCCUUUUGGUCGUCGGUUCAUCCUGU